rnacentral:sRNA from 1 species
UGCCUACAGCCCUAAAGGCCAUGGCAUAAAAUACCGACGAAGAUUACUGAACCCACUGUUCAGGCUCCUUCGUCGGUCCAUGCUCGAAAGGGUAUGGGAGAGUCGCAAGAUUCUC